GACGAACGCUGGCGGCGUGCUUAACACAUGCAAGUCGAACGGAAAGACCCUGCUUUUGUGGGGUGCUCGAGUGGCGAACGGGUGAGUACACGUGAGUAACCUGCCCUUGACUUUGGGAUAACUUCAGGAAACUGGGGCUAAUACCGGAUAGGAGCUCCUGCUGCAUGGUGGGGGUUGGAAAGUUUCGGCGGUUGGGGAUGGACUCGCGGCUUAUCAGCUUGUUGGUGGGGUAGUGGCUUACCAAGGCUUUGACGGGUAGCCGGCCUGAGAGGGUGACCGGCCACAUUGGGACUGAGAUACGGCCCAGACUCCUACGGGAGGCAGCAGUGGGGAAUAUUGCACAAUGGGCGGAAGCCUGAUGCAGCAACGCCGCGUGCGGGAUGACGGCCUUCGGGUUGUAAACCGCUUUCGCCUGUGACGAAGCGUGAGUGACGGUAAUGGGUAAAGAAGCACCGGCUAACUACGUG
rnacentral:rRNA from 1 species